rnacentral:lncRNA from 1 species
GUGAAUGCUCCUUCUGUUGAGUGGGAUCGGGAUCAGGAUACCUUGAGGCAUUUGCAUGAUUCGUUCAAGACUGUUGGGUGAUGAUUGAUGAAUUGAUUGUGGAUUUGGGGGGGGNNNNNNNNNNNNNNNGGGGGGGGGAGGGGGGGGUUGUGGUUUGUGUUUUUGAUGCUGUGUAUGUAUCAUUGGAUGAUUUGAGUUGCAGAGUUGGAAGGCGAUGAUGAUGAACUGAUUCUGGAUAGUCUUUGGCAAUGAAAUCUGGUAUUACAAGGCGGAUGCCGCUUUCGGUCUCGAAAAUUGUUAUGUUGAUUUUUUCGAAUCUAGCUCAAUACAUUUUUUACUUCAGUUCAAAUGAAAUAAAAGAAAGUUACGGAGAGUUUCGAUUUUUUAUUUUUCAGACUUUCCGUGGUCCGAGUAUAAUUAACUUACAUGUAAAAUUUGGAGGUUUUCAACAUUUA